AGUUGAUGAGGUUCUGGAACUACCUGGGAACAAAGUUGAUGAGGUUCUGGUACUAACCUGGGAACCAUGUUGAUGAGUUUCUGGCACUAAUCUGGGAACCAUGUUGAUGAGGUUCUGGCACUAACCUGGGAACCAUGUUGAUGAGGUUCUGGAACUAACCUGGGAACCAAGUUGAUGAGGUUCUGGAACUAACCUGGGAACCAAGUUGAUGAGGUUCUGGAACUAACCUGGGAACCAUGUUGAUGAGGUUCUG